rnacentral:tRNA from 1 species
GCCUUUGUGGUGGAGUGGCCAGCAUGCUCGGCGGGUAACCCAGAGGUCCGUGGUUCGAUUCCACGCAAAGGCG